GUCUUAUUCUGCUAACACCCCAACUAACCCAACGAGCAUCUGAACCGCACACAAAAAAACCCACCCCACUGACCCACCUCCUCCACUCCUCCCCCGAUCCCCUCCACCUUCCUCCCACGCCCCAGCCCAGAUCCACCAACCCACCGCCGCACCCCCAGCCGACCAACUACCAACACCGAUGCUUCGCCCAAUCGCCCCACCUUCGCCGGUGCGCCCUCCCUGCCCAACACCGUCUUUCUGGACAGAGCGCCCCGCCCCGCGCCGCGCCGACUGGAUGGCCUCGACCUCCUCGUACCUUCUUCCCCACACGAGCUCGCAUCCCCGUCGCAGGCGCUCCCCUUCCUGCUGCCUUCCCCGCUCUGAGCCGCCCGAUCUAGGCCGUUGCCGGCCCGUGCGACGCCCCACCGCCGGCCACCACCCAGCCCCACUGCCCCUUCCUCCCAAUCAAUCUUGGCGGAUCCGUCCCCGUGCCGCUGUGCAUUGCCCGACGUUGGAUUGAGCCCCACCUCUGCAGCUCGUGGUGCUUCUCGUGCUGCUCAUCGGCGAGACCCCGACGUCGACCCCAACCACCGAGCUUCUCCCCUGCCUAGCUCGCGGCGGCCAACGCAGGUGCAGUUUGCCGCUGCUUCCCGACGUGGUUAGGUGGCCCCGGUACUGUAGUGCGGUUCCCUCGUGCGUGCUGUUCGUCGGUGGUUUCUCCACCUUGAUGCUGAUCCAGGGCGAUGCAGGUGGUUCCCCUCUCUCUGUACUCCCUCUUCCUCAUUAAAUGGCGGAUCCAAGGUUUUCCCCAUAGACGAACAUGGAAAAAAGUGAGCAGGGAAAAAAGUGAGCACAGUGACAAUGGUUUUGCGGUUCAUUUUGAUUUCGUUUUUUGGCUGAAAUCUUCAGUGCACGACGAGGGACGAAUCCGGCGCUCCGUUGCUCCGUUCCCCUCUCUGCUGCUCCGUUGCUUGAUUCCCUCCUCUGCAGUUCUGUAACGCUUGUCGUGCAGCUCAGCGACGGAAGUUUUGUAGUGCGGCUGUAAUCGCGUGGGCUGUGGGUAUGUAGUCACUCACAUAGAGCUCACUAGUUUCUAGUUGCGUUUCAGUGUACCAUUGUACUUGAUGUAUGUGUAUGUGAUUCACUUCUAAAUUUUUUUGACAAAGUGCAGCUCGCUAGUGUUGUCUUCGGUGUGCUGCUGUGAUGGGCUAGUUUCCUGUUGCAUCUCCGGUGGCUUGGAGUACCAUGGCUGGCGUGUGCGGGCCGUCCUGAUGGCGUGGGCAUGCCGUUCACUUGGAGCACAAUGGCUGGCUGUGUGCAUGCAGUCCCGAGAGCGUGGGCAUGUCAUUCACUUUAUUUUGUUUUGAAGAAAAAAUGUCAGUGCAGUGUCGUUCGAUUUAUUUGUUCAGAAAAAAGAAAAGGUCUUCUACACUUCAUUUUGAUUUUUAGGUUGAUGGGUGUGUGGUUCAAAAAAAUGUAAUGUGGUGCACUUUCGACACCACUUCGAUUCACUUUUAAUGGUGUUGCGGUUCCUUAUGCCCGAUGUGAAGUCAAAAAAAAAAGUUAGGGAACGGUAAAAAACUCACAUGAGGUUCACUUUCAGGUAGUGCCGCGUUUCACUUUCGGAAGUGUUGUGGUUCACUUACGCCGUACGUGAAGCGUUGUCCACUUGCUCGCCUGAGAAAAAUUACGUCUAAAUAAAAGAAAUCAUG
rnacentral:lncRNA from 1 species